GGAGUCGGCCGGACAGUCGCCGCUGAACUUUCGGGUUCGGGGGAGGAAAGUCCGGGCUCCACAGGGCAGGAUGCCAGGUAACGCCUGGGCGGCGCGAGCCGACGGAAAGUGCAGCAGAGAGUAGACCGCCCAAGCGGUGUCGGGUCUCUCGGCACCGACGGCAAGGGUGAAAGGGUGCGGUAAGAGCGCACCGCACGCCUGGUAACAGGUCGUGGCAUGGUAAACCCCAUCCGGAGCAAGACCGAAUAGGAACCCAUUGGCGUGGCCCGCGUCGGGUUCGGGUAGGUUGCUUGAGGCGUUCGGUGACGAACGCCCUAGAGGAAUGACUGUUCUCGACAGAACCCGGCUUACAGGCCGACUCCCACC
rfam:Kushneria marisflavi strain SW32, complete genome.